rnacentral:lncRNA from 1 species
UUUAAAAACUUUUAUAUUGCUUUGGAAACUUUUUGAUUAAUUAUGCUAAGUUGUACAGAUGCACAGUGAAAGUUAAACUUAGCAACAGUUUGAUGUAUAGAACGUGACUUGAUUGAAUAUGCUUGCAACUAAAGGAUGCGCGGAUAAGAGUUAAGCAAGCAAUUUAUCUAAGUAAGUAAGUGUGUUAGUUAGACAAUGACAAGAAGCAUUACAAACACAAUAAACAUAUAGUGGUUCGGUGCACCCCAGCACCUACAUCCACUCCCCAAGACCUAUUGGGAAUUUCACUAUAAUCCUACAGAUUACAGCCGGUUGUUUUACAAGCUCACAACCCAACUUGUUGUUUUACGAGAUCACAACAAACUCGGUCGGUUUUCAC